rnacentral:rRNA from 1 species
ACGUAGGGGGCUAGCGUUAUCCGGAAUCACUGGGCGUAAAGCGCACGUAGGUGGAUCGCUAAGUCGGGGGUGAAAUCCCAGGGCUCAACCCUGGAACUGCCUUCGAUACUGGCGAUCUUCGAGUCCGGGAGAGGUGAGUGGAAUUGCGAGUGUAGAGGUGAAAUUCGUAGAUAUUCGCAAGAACACCAGUGGCGAAGGCGGCUCACUGGCCCGGUACUGACACUGAGGUGCGAAAGCGUGGGGAGCAAAC